AUGCUGGCUCAAGGCAUCAGUCAACCAAAUACAAGUCCCUUCGCAUCAUCGGUUUUGCUGGUGCAGAAGAAAGACCUUACAUGGUGGUUUUGCAUGGAUUACCGUCACCUCAACGCAGUCACCAUCAAGAAUCGUUACCCUCUCCCAGUCAUUGAUGACUUGUUGGACGAACUGGCGGGAUCUCGGUUGUUCACCAGUUUGGAUCUACGAGCUGGCUAUUAUCAGAUUAGGAUGAGACCCGAGGAUGAGCAUAAAACAGCCUUCAAAACGCACCAUGGACACUUUGAGUUUAAGGUAAUGGCAAAUGGUGUCACGGGAGGACCAUCAAUCUUCCAAGGGGGCAUG
rnacentral:rRNA from 1 species